CCUACGGGGUGCAGCAGUGAGGAAUAUUGGUCAAUGGACGAGAGUCUGAACCAGCCAAGUAGCGUGAAGGAUGACUGCCCUAUGGGUUGUAAACUUCUUUUAUAUGGGAAUAAAACGUUCCACGUGUGGGAUUUUGUAUGUACCAUAUGAAUAAGGAUCGGCUAACUCCGUGCCAGCAGCCGCGGUAAUACGGAGGAUCCGAGCGUUAUCCGGAGUUAUUGGGUUUAAAGGGAGCGUAGGUGGAUUGUUAAGUCAGUUGUGAAAGUUUGCGGCUCAACCGUAAAAUUGCAGUUGAAACUGGCAGUAUUGAGUACAGUAGAGGUGGGCGGUAUUCGUGGUGUAGCGGUGAAAUGCUGAGAGAUCACGAAGAACUCCGAUUGCGAAGGCAGUUCACUGGACUUCAACUGACACUGAGGCUCGAAAGUGUGGGUAUCAAACAGGAUUAGAUACCCUAGUAGUC
rnacentral:rRNA from 1 species